rnacentral:rRNA from 1 species
GACGAACGCUGGCGGCGUGCUUAACACAUGCAAGUCGAACGGAAAGGCCCGGCUUUUGUGGGGGGCUCGAGUGGCGAACGGGUGAGUAACACGUGAGUAACCUUCCCUUGACUGUGGGAUAACUUCAGGAAACUGGGGCUAAUACCCGUUAGGAGCUCCGGCUGCAUGGGGGGGGUUGGGAAGCUUCGGCGGUUGGGGAUGGCCUCGCGGCUUAUCAGCUUUUAGGUGGGGUAGUGGCAUACCAAGGCUUUGACGGGUAGCCGGCCUGAGAGGGUGACCGGGGACAAGAGGCCUACGGUACGCAGCAGACUGGAACGGGGGGCAGCGGUCGGAAAUAUUACCCAGCAGGGCGGAGUCUGAGACAACGGCGCCGCGUGCGUAAAGCACGCCUGCGCGGAGUGAACCCCUUGGCCCUAAGACGGACGGGGAAUGACGGUACCGGAUAAAGAAGCACCGGCUAACUACGUG